AUGAGAGUUAUUAUUUCUUAUUUGAUAGCCGGGAAGGCUUUCUCUCUAACUCUACCACUUCACCAGACCGGACUGACACGAUCCGUCGCCGUUCUAAGAUACACCCUUAACCAGACAAGAAGUUGGAAAUGGAUGAUGGAGCAUGAUAUGAUCAUGGAGACUUGGAUCAGUGAUCAGUAGUUGCACACAUGGUUGAGUUUGAGCAGUCUGCAAAUUUCCAACCUUUGGGUGAUGGACCCACUAUGGAGUCAUGAUACCACAUGAGCCCACCAUCCUUGGAGUAAUCGUAAAGUGUUGUGUGUAUCGUACCUUUGUAGUUUCUCAGUCGUCAAGGAUCUUUAUGCAUGCAGUUGCAGACUUGCGGUGCAACCCAAGCCAAAAGAAAGAGAGCUAGCCGGAUCACAACUGAUAACCCAAAAUGAAGAUCAAAACAUGCAAUAAGUUGCUUUUGUCUUUUAAUUAAACAUUUUCUUCUUCUUCUUCAUGAAUAGGGAGUGCCCCUUUAUCAAAUACUAAUGGGUUUUCCCUCUCUGUACGUAAAUGUUUUCGUGGAAAUUAGUUAAUUAAUAUGGGUUCAACUUUGUCUUCACAUGCAGGUGUUAUGUAGCGCAUAAAUCCUACCAAGUGUUUGAGUUAAUUACCCAUUCAAAGUGAACAAGAUAUAAUAAACAGUGCUCGAUCGACCAUCGUCCACACUCCACAGUUCACAGAGAAUGGACAAAAGAAGAGAAAGCUACUGUCAAUGUGGAGAGAUUGGUCUGGCUGCUGUACAUGCAUGCUCAGUUUCCGUAUUUGGGAAAAGGGUCCAACUCUAGCUGUAAUUCCAUUUAAUUGGUAACUGGGUACGAGGGCUCUCCAAUCUCCAUGACAACGAGUCGGAGAGUCACAUGUUAUUCCCUAUACAAAAAAUAUGAAUGAUGAUAGAUAGUCAGGGAAAAUUAAGCA